rnacentral:tRNA from 1 species
CAUUACGAAGCUUAGAGCGUUAACCUUUUAAGUUAAAGAUAGGGACACCCAGUCUCCGUAGUGA